AGUGAACGCUGGCGGUAGGCCUAACACAUGCAAGUCGAACGGCAGCACAGUAAGAGCUUGCUCUUACGGGUGGCGAGUGGCGGACGGGUGAGGAAUACAUCGGAAUCUACUUUUUCGUGGGGGAUAACGUAGGGAAACUUACGCUAAUACCGCAUACGACCUACGGGUGAAAGCAGGGGAUCUUCGGACCUUGCGCGAUUGAAUGAGCCGAUGUCGGAUUAGCUAGUUGGCGGGGUAAAGGCCCACCAAGGCGACGAUCCGUAGCUGGUCUGAGAGGAUGAUCAGCCACCCUGGAACUGAGACACGGUCCAGCCUCCUACGGGAGGCAGCAGUGGGGAAUAUUGGACAAUGGGCGCAAGCCUGAUCCAGCCAUACCGCGUGGGUGAAGAAGGCCUUCGGGUUGUAAAGCCCUUUUGUUGGGAAAGAAAAGCAGCAGGUUAAUACCCCGCUGUUCUGACGGUACCCAAAGAAUAAGCACCGGCUAACUUCGU
rnacentral:rRNA from 1 species